rnacentral:tRNA from 3 species
GGGUCGUUAGCUCAGUUGGUAGAGCACCUCCCUUACAAGGAGGGGGUCGGCGGUUCGAUCCCGUCAUCACCCACCA